AAAUAAGUAAGCUAACUCCUAAGCUCUUAGGCUCAUACCCUAAAAAUAGAUUAUAUUAAUAUCUCUUAUUUA
rnacentral:tRNA from 1 species